UGGCGGAGCAAGCGUUGUUCGGAUUUACUGGGCGUAAAGGGCGCGUACGCGGCCACGACAAGUCACUUGUGAAAUCUCCGGGCUUAACUCGGAACGGUCAAGUGAUACUGUCGGGCUAGAGUGCAGAAGGGGCAACUGGAAUUCUCGGUGUAGCGGUGAAAUGCGUAGAUAUCGAGAGGAACACCUGCGGCGAAGGCGGGUUGCUGGGCUGACACUGACGCUGAGGCGCGAAAGCCAGGGGAGCGAACGGGAUUAGAUACCCCGGUAGUCCUGGCCUUAAACSAUGAAUGCUUGGUGUCUCGGGUUACAUAAUCCCGGGGUGCCGUCGCUAACGCUUUUAGCAUUCCGCCUGGGGAGUACGGUCGCAAGACUG
rnacentral:rRNA from 1 species